CCUACGGGCGGCAGUAGUGAGGAAUAUUGGUCAAUGGACGAGAGUCUGAACCAGCCAAGUAGCGUGAAGGAUGACUGCCCUAUGGGUUGUAAACUUCUUUUAUAUGGGAAUAAAAUGUUCCACGUGUGGGAUUUUGUAUGUACCAUAUGAAUAAGGAUCGGCUAACUCCGUGCCAGCAGCCGCGGUAAUACGGAGGAUCCGAGCGUUAUCCGGAUUUAUUGGGUUUAAAGGGAGCGUAGGUGGAUUGUUAAGUCAGUUGUGAAAGUUUGCGGCUCAACCGUAAAAUUGCAGUUGAAACUGGCAGUCUUGAGUACAGUAGAGGUGGGCGGAAGCCGUGGUGUAGCGGUGAAAUGCUUAGAUAUCACGAAGAACUCCGAUUGCGAAGGCAGUUCACUGGACUGCAACUGACACUGAGGCUCGAAAGUGUGGGUAUCAAACAGGAUUAGAUACCCUAGUAGUC
rnacentral:rRNA from 1 species